AUUAAAUAUAUAAAGAGUCGAGCCUGCCCAGUGAUAAACUUUAAACGGCCGCGGUACUCUGACCGUGCAAAGGUAGCAUAAUCAUUUGCCCUAUAAUUGAGGGCUUGUAUGAACGGUUUGACAAAAGCAUGACUGUCUCCUUAAAAUUUUAUAAAAUUUGGUUUUUAGGUGAAGAAACCUAAAUAUUAUUAAAAGACAAGAAGACCCUAUCGAGCUUUAGAAUAAUUAAUUAAAAAAUAUAAUUAAAAUAAUUAAUUUUAACUAAAAACUUUGGUUGGGGCGACUAAGGAACAUAUAAAGCUUCCUAUAUUAAAAUAUGCUCAUAAGCUAUGAUCCAAAAAAUUUGAUUAAAAAAAUUAGUUACCGUAGGGAUAACAGCAUAAUUUUUUUUGAGAGUUCUUAUCGAAAAAAAAGUUUGUGACCUCGAUGUUGGACUAGGAUAUCUUAAAGAUGCAGAAGUCUUUAAAAGUUGGUCUGUCCGACCA
rnacentral:rRNA from 1 species